rnacentral:rRNA from 1 species
GACGAACGCUGGCGGCGUGCCUAAUACAUGCAAGUCGAGCGGACGAAUCGAAAGCUUGCUUUUGUUUCGUUAGCGGCGGACGGGUGAGUAACACGUGGGCAACCUGCCCUGUAGACGGGGAUAACACCGAGAAAUCGGUGCUAAUACCGGAUAACACGAAAUGUCGCAUGACGUUUCGUUGAAAGACGGCGCAAGCUGUCGCUACAGGAUGGGCCCGCGGCGCAUUAGCUAGUUGGUGAGGUAACGGCUCACCAAGGCGACGAUGCGUAGCCGACCUGAGAGGGUGAUCGGCCACACUGGGACUGAGACACGGCCCAGACUCCUACGGGAGGCAGCAGUAGGGAAUCUUCCGCAAUGGACGAAAGUCUGACGGAGCAACGCCGCGUGAGCGAAGAAGGCCUUCGGGUCGUAAAGCUCUGUUGUUAGGGAAGAACAAGUAACGCAGUAACUGGCGUUACCGUGACGGUACCUAACGAGAAAGCCACGGCUAACUACGUG